GGCGAUGUUUCUACUGUGACGUAUAAUCUAGUGGACGGAAAGCUUCUUCCGCAACUGCAGCCACCUCGGUAGCUCGCUAGACAACAAAGUCAUUCAAGUUCUUUAGAUAAUUUCGUGGUUUAUUUGCCACUAUGAUUUAAACAUACUUAUGUGGAAACAACUAGCUACCCCAUGUAAUUUAAUAUUUACGUUGUAAGUCAACUUGCUGGCUGGUUAAAUUAGCACUAGUCUAGUCGCUAAAACUAACUAGCUAUUUUUCCCGAACAUGAGUUCACUAAGCUACUCUCCUCCUGUUUAAGAAGAGGGGGUCUGCUGGACGGAGAAAGAAGCUCACGUGAAAGAGGAGGCUUUUACAAUACAAAAACAAGUAGAGGGUGAGGCAGUUACCGUGAAAGAAGAAGAGAAAGACGCCUUCAGAGUGGAGGAUGAAGACGUUUUUGGAAUGAAGAAUGAAGAAGGGGAGAUUACUGUCACAUUAGAGUAGGACGAAGAAGAGAAGACUGGAGAUCUGAUUAACACCAGUAAAUACAGAGAGAGACGGGUCUAUCGUGGAUCCUCUGGUGAUCCUCAACAACAUCAUGAUGCUGACAAGGCAGAGAAGAGUCUCUCCAGAUCAGAACACCUCAAGAAACACCUACCGAGACCCACAGGGAAGAAAUCUCACCACUGCUCUGACUGUGGGAAGAGUUACUCAAGAUCAGAUUCACUUAAACUACAUAAGAGAAUACACCAGCGAGUACACACAGGAGAGAAACCUCACCACUGUUUUGACUGUGGGAAGAGUUACUUAAAAUCAAAUUCACUUAAACUACACCUGAGAAUACACACUGGAGAGAAUCUUCACUUCUGCUCUGACUGUGGGAAGAGAUUCACCUCUUCAGUAGACCUUAAAAUACAUCAGAGAAUUCACACUGUAGAGAAACCUUUUGGCUGUAAUCAAUGUGGGAAGAGUUUUACUAAGCUAAGCAACUUGAAAUCACACCAGAAAAUACACACGGGAGAGAAACCUUAUGGCUGUGAUCAAUGUGGGAAGAGUUUUACUCAGUCAAGCGGCCUGAUAUCACACCAGAUAACACACACAGUAGAGAAACCAUAUAGCUGUACUCAAUGUGGGAAGAGUUUUGCUACAUCUGGCUAUCUGAAGAUACACCAGAGAAUACACACAGGAGAAAAAUCUUAUAGCUGUAAUCAAUGUGGGAAGAGUUUUACUCAGUCAAGCAGCCUGAAAUCACACCAGUGGACACACACAUGAGAGAAACCUUAUGGCUAUGAUCAAUGUGACGAGAUACUCUGAUAAAAUAUAUCUAACCAAACAUCAGAAAAUACAUGGAGUUGUUUCAUGAUAUCAAUUAAAUAUUGUCACAAUGUA